GUAGGUGGCAAGCGUUAUCCGGAAUUACUGGGCGUAAAGGGCACGCAGGCGGCCAAGCAAGUCUGACGUGAAAGCUCCUGGCUUAACUGGGAGAGGUCGUUGGAAACUGUUUGGCUUGAGGUAAUGAGAGGGGUGCGGAAUUCCCGGUGUAGUGGUGGAAUGCGUAGAUAUCGGGAGGAACACCAGUGGCGAAAGCGGCAUCCUAGCAUUGACCUGACGCUCAUGUGCGAAAGCGUGGGGAGCAAACGGGGGAUUAGAUACCCCGGUAGUCCACGCUGUAAACGAUGAGCACUAGGUGUGGGUAGUGUUAAAGCUAUCUGUGCCGAAGCAAACGCGAUAAGUGCUCCGCCUGGGAGUACGGCCGCAAGGCUA
rnacentral:rRNA from 1 species